rnacentral:lncRNA from 1 species
UCUUUCAUCCAUGGAAUCUCAGUAAGUACUUAAAAAAUGUUUCCCCAUUUAGAUAGUGCAAUCUUGCUAGCAUUAAAUUUUAUUUUGUGUGGAUGUGUGUUAAUGUUGUCCCUUUAAGUUGAGAGUACAAUGCAUGUG